rnacentral:rRNA from 1 species
AUACGAAGGGGGCUAGCGUUGCUCGGAAUGACUGGGCGUAAAGGGCGUGUAGGCGGUUUACACAGUCAGAUGUGAAAUCCCCGGGCUUAACCUGGGAGCUGCAUUUGAUACGUGUAGACUAGAGUGUGAGAGAGGGUUGUGGAAUUCCCAGUGUAGAGGUGAAAUUCGUAGAUAUUGGGAAGAACACCGGUGGCGAAGGCGGCAACCUGGCUCAUGACUGACGCUGAGGCGCGAAAGCGUGGGGAGCAAACAGGAUUAGAUACCCUGGUAGUCCACGCUGUAAACGAUGUGUGCUAGAUGUUGGGUAACUUUGUUAUUCAGUGUCGCAGUUAACGCGUUAAGCACACCGCCUGGGGAGUACGGCCGCAAGGUUGAA